UACGAAGGGGGCUAGCGUUGCUCGGAAUUACUGGGCGUAAAGGGCGCGUAGGCGGCACUGUUAGUCAGGCGUGAAAGUCCUGGGCUCAACCUGGGAACUGCGCUUGAUACGGCAGAGCUAGAGGAUGGAAAAAGGGUCGCGGAAUUCCCAGUGUAGAGGUGAAAUUCGUAGAUAUUGGGAAGAACACCGGUGGCGAAGGCGGCGACCUGGUCCAUUACUGACGCUGAGGCGCGACAGCGUGGGGGAGCAAACAGG
rnacentral:rRNA from 1 species